CUUUGCCCUUCGGGUCUACGGCGGGUAAAUAGUGAAAAACGUCGCUAUAUGCUGGAACAUCCCAUGCAUCCCCUAUGCCGCAAGGUACGGGGUGGGGACAAUCAGCAGGAAACCCGGCUUCAUCCGUCUCUGCUUUGCAGAGCCGAAACUACGCCGUGGGCUCCUCAGAGACUACACGCGACGCUUCCAAAUGAACUAUUCAUCGCGAAGGCAAGCUUCGCUUGCCUGGAGCGAUACCUUCUAAGGGAAAGGAUAGUUCAUGAAAGGAAAACCGUAGGUUUGCCUUUCAUGGAAGAUGAUAUAGUCCGAUCUCCAUGGCGACAUGGAG
rnacentral:ncRNA from 1 species